rnacentral:rRNA from 1 species
UACGAAGGGGGCUAGCGUUGCUCGGAAUUACUGGGCGUAAAGCGCACGUAGGCGGAUUGUUAAGUCGGGGGUGAAAUCCUGGAGCUCAACUCCAGAACUGCCUUCGAUACUGGCGAUCUCGAGUUCGGGAGAGGUGAGUGGAACUGCGAGUGUAGAGGUGAAAUUCGUAGAUAUUCGCAAGAACACCGGUGGCGAAGGCGGCGACCUGGGUAGAUACUGACGCUGAGGUGCGAAAGCGUGGGGAGCAAACAGG